ensembl:lncRNA
AAUAAAUGCUUUCAUAAAGUGACACUUCUGAAAAGUAGGUUUGAGAUGUUAUGUUUGGGGCCAAAAUUCUAGGUUUCAGAUGGCUGAUAAUACAGUUCCCAAUGUGUUGCAUGGCAUAGCAGGGGAAUAGGGAUGCUGAUCCAAUGGUGCAUCAUGCACCUCCAAGGUGAAAUGCAGCAGCAGCCCCAGCAGUACGUAGUUCCUUGACACAGCCAUGGCUUUGGCAGGCCAGCACUCGUGGCACUGAUGUUUUGUGGCAACUGUGCAAAGCAGACGACUGAUUAUUUUUCUAAUGAUUGCUUCUCAGUGCUCUCCUCCUUCAUCUGCCCUAGAGAGGAAAACUUUCCCUCCUGUAUCCUGUCCUGUUGGAUAACGGCAUAAAUGGAUUCUUGCUGUAGAAAUGUGGGGAUAACACCACAGUAUGGGCUGUGUGUAAUCACAUUUCUUCUCUAAGUUCCCUCCUUCUCAAGACUUUAAUUGUAGACCCUGUCUGUGAUCAGAUAUGGUCCUUCUCCAUCAGUUUGAAAAGGAGGAAGACUAAUUGAAGGCUAUCCUCUAACUCACCACUGUUGUCAGCUAUGGAAUCCAAUACAGCACUUUCAUCUACUGACAGUGAUGUAGUGGUUAUUAAAUGCAAUAGAAAUCAUUCAGACCCCUUUUCAUUAAAACUUCACUCAUAUCUGGCUUUCUGUGUUCUUGGAAAAGAGCUGGGUGGAAAUACAGAUCUAGAGAAUUGCAACCCUAUAUUGUUUUUUGAGGGAGAGGGCAUUCAAGUACACGGAAUAGGCAUUUGCAUUUGAAGCAAAGGAUCGAUGUGUUGUCUUAUUCCUGAGACACCGGAGAGCUGCUCCUCCCCAGCUUGGCACAGGGCUAAUGAGCAAUGAUUCUAAUGGAUUAAACUACGUAGAAAUGUCAUCUUUUGGGUCCCCAUCACGGAAUAAAGCACCAGACAUUUGAGAGAGAACCAUCGCUUCUGAUUUAAGAUGUGCCAGAAAAAGUAUAGGAAAAAAUGUCAGAGCCCUUCUAUUAGCCAGCUUGUUCGAAUACAAACAAAAAAUUAAUUUAAACCAACUAAAAGGCAUUCAAAAGUUGGUGUUCUCUCUUUGCCCCAGAAGUAGUCUGCUGAUAAGAAACAAAUUAAAAAUGCAGAGUUUUUGAAUAGCAAAAAUGCUGUGUAUUUCACAUGCAGUUGGUGUUUUUAUGUGUAACAUUUUGGACUAAAAAAAAUAAUAUUAAGUGCACAUAAAAAUGAUUACUGUAAAUGGUGAAGACAUCAAAGUUUGGCAUCAAAGUUAAAUGAAGGCACUUGGAAGUCUGUUUGUUUGAUCUGUACAUUAAAAAGCUUAAAAAGAAGCCUGUGCUUUUUUUAUUUUUCAGCUGGAACUGGGUAGCCAGUUCAGAUUCUGCUGCAUCCUAGGGAUUCCCAAACUAGGUUAGAUCCAAGCACGUUCAUUAUUUUUGUUGAUGAUUUCUUUUUCCUUUUUUCCUUUUGCAUUUUCCUGGUACAGUUUUAUGCCGGUACGCCAGGGAAAGGGAGUUGGAAGAAGCAACGUGCCACAGGCUCCUCUAAGUGCCUUCAAGUGAAUCUGAAGAGUGGACACACGCUGUGAUACUGAAAUAAAAGUCUCUUUCCUCUUGUAGACCUGGAACAAGGUCUGCCAAAAUCAAAGGAAAUUGAGGUCUUAGCAACAAACACCUUUAAGAAAGUUAACUGUAGUAAUCUUGAUGGUGUUUUACCACCAAAGAUCCACUCCUGACUUGGCAAGAAGGUGUCUGUCGAGAAAUAGAAACAACAGGAGAACAUGCAGCAAAAGAAGAGAAGCAAAGGGAAAGGACUGGAUCAAAGCCCC